CUAGGAAUAGAUCUCUUUCCAAUAUUUCGUCAUUCCACUAUCGUCAUCACCUCAUCAUACUUUCAUUGACAUUACAGGCACACAUCCACAGAGCACUCUUCAAAUCAUCUACACAGUGGUUAUCCAACUAGGAUUAUAAAGGCACACAUUGACAUAGACCACUGUUGCAAUCAACGACACAGUCGCUAUCCAAGUAGCAUUAUAGAGCUGUCAUGCAACGCAACAACUGUGCUAUCUGCCAUCGCACAUCAACGAAGAAGUGCAGCCGCCCACAUUCCACCUCACGUCUGUCCGACCAGCUGCAAUCCUCGAGGACGCCCCACUGUACCACGAUUUCACUACGAUGUUUGACAAGA